rnacentral:rRNA from 1 species
GAUGAACGCUGGCGGCGUGCCUAAUACAUGCAAGUCGAGCGAACAGACGAGGAGCUUGCUCCUCUGACGUUAGCGGCGGACGGGUGAGUAACACGUGGAUAACCUACCUAUAAGGCUGGGAUAACUUCGGGAAACCGGAGCUAAUACCGGAUAAUAUAUUGAACCGCAUGGUUCAAUAGUGAAAGACGGUUUUGCUGUCACUUAUAGAUGGAUUCGCGCCGCAUUAGCUAGUUGGUAAGGUAACGGCUUACCAAGGCAACGAUGCGUAGCCGACCUGAGAGGGUGAUCGGCCACACUGGAACUGAGACACGGUCCAGACUCCUACGGGAGGCAGCAGUAGGGAAUCUUCCGCAAUGGGCGAAAGCUUGACGGAGCAACGCCGCGUGAGUGAUGAAGGUCUUCGGAUCGUAAAACUCUGUUAUUAGGGAAGAACAAAUGUGUAAGUAACUAUGCACGUCUUGACGGUACCUAAUCAGAAAGCCACGGCUAACUACGUG